rnacentral:rRNA from 1 species
AUCGAACGCUGGCGGCAGGCCUAACACAUGCAAGUCGAGCGGAGUGGCUGACGGGCGAGUAAUUCCUAGGAAUCUGCCCGGCCGUGCGGGUUAACGUCCGGAAACGGGCCCUAAUCCCACAUACUAUCAGAUGAGCGUAGGUCGGAUUAGCGAGUUGGUGGGGUAAAGGCCUACCAGGGCGACGAUGCGUAACUGGUCUGAGAGGAUGAUCAGUCUCACUGGAACUGUUGCACGGUCCAGACUCCUACGGGAGGCAGCAGUGGGGAAUGUUGGACAAUGUGCGAAAGCCUGAUCCAGCCAUGCCGCGUGUGUGAAGAGGGUCUUCGGAUUGUAAAGCACUUUAAGUUGGGAGGCGUUACGAACAGAAUAAGCACCGGCUAACUACGUGCCAGCAGCCGCGGUAAUAC